rnacentral:rRNA from 1 species
GUUUUAAGAAAAUUUAUUUAAAAUAUGUCCUGCUCAAUGAUUAUUUAAAUAGCUGCAGUAUAUUAACUGUACAAAGGUAGCAUAAUAGAUUGUCUUUUAAUUGGAGACUAGAAUGAAUGGAUGAACGAAAUUAAGACUGUUUUUAAGAUGUAGGUAAAAAUUAAUAUUAUAGUGAAGAGGCUAUAAUGUUAUUAAAAGACAGAGAGACCCUUAGAGCUAUUAUUUAAGGCUAAUUUAGAUGUGUGGUUACAAUUGCUAUAUAUAGGUUAUAUUUUGACUGGGGUGGUUUAAGAAUAUAUAUAACUUCUUUUAAGAUUAUGAUCAAGGGUCUAUCAAAGAAAGUUUAAAAUUUUAUGACUAGUUACCUAAGGGAUAACAGAUUAAUUUUUUUUGAGAGUUCUUAUUGAUAAAGGAGAUUAAUACCUCGAUGUUGGCUUAAAAUUACCUAUAGAUGCAGAAGUUUAUAAGGUUGGUUUGUUCAACCAUUAAAAUUUUACGUGAUCUGAGUUCAGACC